CAGGCUUAACACAUGCAAGUCGAGGGGCAGCAUUUCAGUUUGCUUGCAAACUGGAGAUGGCGACCGGCGCACGGGUGAGUAACACGUAUCCAACCUGCCGAUAACUCGGGGAUAGCCUUUCGAAAGAAAGAUUAAUACCCGAUGGUAUAAUCAGACCGCAUGGUCUUGUUAUUAAAGAAUUUCGGUUAUCGAUGGGGAUGCGUUCCAUUAGGCAGUUGGUGAGGUAACGGCUCACCAAACCUUCGAUGGAUAGGGGUUCUGAGAGGAAGGUCCCCCACAUUGGAACUGAGACACGGUCCAAACUCCUGCGGGAGGCAGCAGUGAGGAAUAUUGGUCAAUGGGCGCAGGCCUGAACCAGCCAAGUAGCGUGAAGGAUGACUGCCCUAUGGGUUGUAAACUUCUUUUAUACGGGAAUAAAGUUUUCCACGUGUGGAAUUUUGUAUGUACCAUAUGAAUAAGGAUCGGCUAACUCCGUGCCAGCAGCCGCGGUAAUACGGAGGAUCCGAGCGUUAUCCGGAUUUAUUGGGUUUAAAGGGAGCGUAGGUGGACAGUUAAGUCAGUUGUGAAAGUUUGCGGCUCAACCGUAAAAUUGCAGUUGAUACUGGCUGUCUUGAGUACAGUAGAGGUGGGCGGAAUUCGUGGUGUAGCGGUGAAAUGCUUAGAUAUCACGAAGAACUCCGAUUGCGAAGGCAGCUCACUGGACUGCAACUGACACUGAUGCUCGAAAGUGUGGGUAUCAAACAGGAUUAGAUACCCUGGUAGUCCACACAGUAAACGAUGAAUACUCGCUGUUUGCGAUAUACAGUAAGCGGCCAAGCGAAAGCAUUAAGUAUUCCACCUGGGGAGUACGCCGGCAACGGUGAAACUCAAAGGAAUUGACGGGGGCCCGCACAAGCGGAGGAACAUGUGGUUUAAUUCGAUGAUACGCGAGGAACCUUACCCGGGCUUAAAUUGCAUUUGAAUAUAUUGGAAACAAUAUAGCCGUAAGGCAAAUGUGAAGGUGCUGCAUGGUUGUCGUCAGCUCGUGCCGUGAGGUGUCGGCUUAAGUGCCAUAACGAGCGCAACCCUUAUCUUUAGUUACUAACAGGUCAUGCUGAGGACUCUAGAGAGACUGCCGUCGUAAGAUGUGAGGAAGGUGGGGAUGACGUCAAAUCAGCACGGCCCUUACGUCCGGGGCUACACACGUGUUACAAUGGGGGGUACAGAAGGCAGCUACCUGGUGACAGGAUGCUAAUCCCAAAAGCCUCUCUCAGUUCGGAUCGAAGUCUGCAACCCGACUUCGUGAAGCUGGAUUCGCUAGUAAUCGCGCAUCAGCCAUGGCGCGGUGAAUACGUUCCCGGGCCUUGUACACACCGCCCGUCAAGCCAUGAAAGCCGGGGGUACCUGAAGUACGUAACCGCAAGGAGCGUCCUAGGGUAAAACUGGUAAUUGGGGCUAAGUCAUA
rnacentral:rRNA from 1 species